UUCUAUAUUUCGUUUGUAUCAUAUCUUUGUCUCGAGUUAAGACAUAGAGCUUUGCUCUUUAGCAAUAAAAACUGUACACCAUAGUGUUUAACCCAUAUUUACAAACAAAAUCAGAAGCCAUACAGUCUUUGCCAAGUCAACUGAGACUUUCGCUUUCUAUUUAGUCUUUCAACUUACGCAUCUAUAGCCACUUUCCGUCCAAAAUAAUUUU